rfam:Thermoplasmatales archaeon I-plasma AMDT3_IPLC00004, whole genome shotgun sequence.
GUUGACGGCCAUAGCGACGGGGAAACACCCGGUCUCAUUCCGAACCCGAAGGUUAAGCCCGUCUGCGUUCCGCACGCGUACUGUGUUCCGCGAGGGCAUGGGAAAUGCGGUUCGCCGCCUCCA